GUCCACGCCGUAAACGUUGGGCACUAGGUGUGGGUCGUUAUCAACGCGAUCUGUGCCGUAGCUAACGCAUUAAGUGCCCCGCCUGGGGAGUACGGCCGCAAGGCUAAAACUCAAAGGAAUUGACGGGGGCCCGCACAAGCGGCGGAGCAUGUUGCUUAAUUCGAGGCAACGCGAAGAACCUUACCUGGGUUUGACAUGUAGAGAAAAGCCAUAGAGAUAUGGUGUCCUUCGGGUUCGUACACAGGUGGUGCAUGGCUGUCGU
rnacentral:rRNA from 1 species